GACGAACGCUGGCGGCGUGCUUAACACAUGCAAGUCGAGCGGUAAGGCCCUUCGGGGUACACGAGCGGCGAACGGGUGAGUAACACGUGGGUGACCUGCCUCUAGCUCUGGGAUAAGCCCGGGAAACUGGGUCUAAUACCGGAUAUGACUCCACGGCGCAUGUUGUGGGGUGGAAAGCCUUGUGUGGCUAGAGAUGGGCCCGCGGCCUAUCAGCUUGUUGGUGGGGUGAUGGCCUACCAAGGCGACGACGGGUAGCCGGCCUGAGAGGGCGACCGGCCACACUGGGACUGAGACACGGCCCAGACUCCUACGGGAGGCAGCAGUGGGGAAUCUUGCGCAAUGGGCAAAGCCUGACGCAGCGACGCCGCGUGAGGGAUGACGG
rnacentral:rRNA from 1 species